rnacentral:rRNA from 1 species
CCUACGGGUGGCAGCAGUGGGGAAUAUUGCACAAUGGGGGAAACCCUGAUGCAGCGACGCCGCGUGGGUGACGAAGUAUUUCGGUAUGUAAAGCCCUAUCAGCAGGGAAGAAGAUGACAGUACCUGACCAAGAAGCCCCGGCUAACUACGUGCCAGCAGCCGCGGUAAUACGUAGGGGGCAAGCGUUAUCCGGAUUUACUGGGUGUAAAGGGAGCGUAGGUGGCAUGGCAAGCCAGAAGUGAAAACCCGGGGCUUAACCCCGCGGAUUGCUUUUGGAACUGUCAGGCUGGAGUGCAGGAGGGGCAGGCGGAAUUCCUGGUGUAGCGGUGAAAUGCGUAGAUAUCAGGAGGAACACCGGUGGUGAAGGCGGCCUGCUGGACUGUAACUGACACUGAGGCUCGAAAGCGUGGGGAGCAAACAGGAUUAGAUACCCCUGUAGUC